CGUAACAAGGUCUCCGUUGGUGAACCAGCGGAGGGAUCAUUACCGAGUUUACAGCUCCCAAACCCCUGUGAACAUACCUAUACGUUGCCUCGGCGGAUCAGCCCGCGCCCCGUAAAAAGGGACGGCCCGCCCGAGGACCCCUAAACUCUGUUUUUAGUGGAACUUCUGAGUAAAACAAACAAAUAAAUCAAAACUUUCAACAACGGAUCUCUUGGUUCUGGCAUCGAUGAAGAACGCAGCAAAAUGCGAUAAGUAAUGUGAAUUGCAGAAUUCAGUGAAUCAUCGAAUCUUUGAACGCACAUUGCGCCCGCCAGUAUUCUGGCGGGCAUGCCUGUUCGAGCGUCAUUUCAACCCUCAAGCUCAGCUUGGUGUUGGGACUCGCGGUAACCCGCGUUCCCCAAAUCGAUUGGCGGUCACGUCGAGCUUCCAUAGCGUAGUAAUCAUACACCUCGUUACUGGUAAUCGUCGCGGCCACGCCGUAAAACCCCAACUUCUGAAUGUUGACCUCGGAUCAGGUAGGAAUACCCGCUGAACUUAA
rnacentral:rRNA from 1 species